GAUGAACGCUAGCUACAGGCUUAACACAUGCAAGUCGAGGGGAAACGGCAUUAAGUGCUUGCACUUUUUGGACGUCGACCGGCGCACGGGUGAGUAACGCGUAUCCAACCUUCCCAUGACUAAGGGAUAACCUGCCGAAAGGCAGACUAAUACCUUAUGGUCUUCACUGACGGCAUCAGAUGUGAAGUAAAGAUUUAUCGGUUAUGGAUGGGGAUGCGUCUGAUUAGCUUGUUGGCGGGGUAACGGCCCACCAAGGCAACGAUCAGCAAGGGUUAUGAGAGGAAGGUCCCCCACAUUGGAAAUGGGACCCGGCCCAAACUCCUACGGGAGGCAGCAGUGAGGAAUAUUGGUCAAUGGGCGAGGGCCUGAACCAGCCAAGUAGCGUGCAGGAAGACGGCCCUUUGGGUUGUAAACUGCUUUUGUAUGGGGAUAAAGUCAAUCACGUGUGAUUGUUUGCAGGUACCAUACGAAUAAGGACCGGCUAAUUCCGUG
rnacentral:rRNA from 1 species